GGAUAGAUAGUGGCUGAAUGCCUGUGUUGUGCAUUGUUCUACCUCUGUCCUUCAAGACUGUAUAUAAGCUGGCUGUGAAAUAAACUCGGAGCUGUUGGGAAUUGACCGGCAGACCUCUUGACUCUUUUCUGUCUCUUCAUUGUCUCUUCAAUCCGCAUGCCUCUACCCAGCUACCCAGCAGGCCCAACAAGUGGUACCCAUCGAGGGAGCGGGUACAGAGGAGUCCGUGACAGACACCAUAGAAGAAAAAGGAAUGCACGCGAAAAAAAGUGGAAGCUGUGGAAAAGAAAAAAUACAUGGAUUCUGGUCAUUUGAGUCCAAUGGGUUGCAAAUACUUGUCAUCAUUCAAGAGAAUUGAUUACAGAUUUUUAUUGAUUAAGCUAGGAAGAAACCACAAGGAAAAGGACUUUGGUGGAAAUCUGCAUGUUGUCUGAAAAGCAAGAGAAGGUGAAAGAUUGGAAUAAUGAUAGAGGAAAAAAAGGGAAUUUGUCUAUGUCAGGCUGAACCAGAAGAGCAAACAUGCACAAAAGAACUGCGAAAGUCUAACAGAACUUUGUUAUGGAGAUGAUGUACUGGCAUUAUUCCUUUAAAGUAUAACAUUACAUGGACACAGCAGUAUAUUCUUGAUUGUUCUGGAAAUCAGGACAAUUAUAGUGACUCUUAUACAGUGUCUACAGCAGAAUCUUGGGACCAAGGACUGUCAGCUAGAAUUUGGUAUUCUAGUACUGGAUCUCCACAAACAUCUGUUUGGAAACUUGCUUCUGCAAUGUGAACAGUUGCAGGAUGUUGCAGUCACUUAAAACCUGUUUGUCAAUUGAAAGAAACUGUUUUAGCUUGUGUCAAAAUGCCCUAUGUUCUUUUAGUUGGCAAAUAUUUCUAUGAAUGGUUCUGUGUUUAAUGUAUCAAGUCUUAAUUGCAUUUUGACCAAUUGUAUUUUCCAAAUGGAUAAUCACAUUUGUGUAAUAGUGUUAAAAAUAAUUUUCUUUUGUUAUAUUGCCAGUAUAUAUGAGUGACCCAUAAUUUGAUGAUAAAGGGUUACAAGUAAUUGAGGAAAUCAAGAAAUCUUUAAGUAGAUAGAAUCAUGUUGCUGGAUUAGUUAUAUCAGGAAUUGCAGCUCUUGUUACUGUGCUUGCUAUGACUACUGUUGCUUCAAUGCCUUUGGUCAAUCCUUCCAGACAUCAGGGUUUGUUAAUCAAUUGUCUAUGAAUGUUUCUAUGACCUUAGAGACUUAAGAAGUUAUAGAGUGAAAAUGGAACAAAUAUUGAAUGCUUUGUAUGAUGUGGUACAAUUUUUGGGAAAUGAACUCCAAAGCCUGAAAACUAGAGUAUAUUUGAAAUGUCAUUCUAAUUAUGAGUAGAUUUGUGUUACAUCUUCUGUGUAUAAGGAAAGUGCUAUUGGAAUGAAAAGGGUUAAGGCACAUCUUAAAGGAAUUUGGCAUGAUUCUAAUGAAUCCUUAGAUUUGGCUAAAUUACAUCAAGAGAUUAUAGAAAUGAGAAAAGCUAAAUUGGAUUUUGAUGUAGCUAAAACUACAGAAGGAAUUUUAGAACAAUUUAAAUGGGUUAUCCCAUCAUGGUCAUCAUUUACUUCACUCUUAAGUAGUGUUAUAGCUAUUGGAGCAUGUGUCUUAGUAGGUAUAAUCUGUUUGCUUAUGAUUCCCAAGCUGAUUUUGAACUCAUUAUGGAGAUUCGGCUUGGAACUCUACAGAGUAAAACUCUGCACAUUCCUCUGACUUAACACCAGAGGCUGGUAGCCAAAGACGGGUAAGUUUUCUUGCCUCCUUUCAACCUAAGACAGGACAUGAAUGAUGGAAUUCAUGUUCCCAUGACGGGUAAGAUUGGAGUGUGUGUGGUAAGGAAACACCUAAGACAGGCACAAUCAUCUGAGAGACUCAGUGGAGUCUUAAAAUAAAUAAAAAAGGAAGACUGACUCAGUUCCCCAGUUUGAAUCUGAAGUCCAUUCUGAGUCAAUAGAGUUCAGGCUUGUUUGCUCCAAGGUUGUGAGAAAGUUCUGAUUAGCCCACAGAGUCUCCUUGAAGGGCUGUGAGAAAGUCCUGAUUAGCCCACAAGAAGGAACAAACUAGCUAGCUAGAUGCAUGCUGCUGAUGCCAGCCAGAGGUACAUUGAGAUCAAAAAGAAACUGCCUGCUCCUUGACGCAAGGCAGGAUAGAUAGUGACUGAAUGCUUGUGUUGUGCAUUGUUCUACCUCUGUCCUUCAAAACUGUAUAUAAGCUGGCUGUGAAAUAAACUUGGGGCUGUUGGGCAUUGACCGGCAGACCUCUUGACUCUUC